rnacentral:lncRNA from 1 species
UAUCAACAAGAUAAAUCACAGCUUUGAAGAAACUUCUAAUUUCAAUUUUUAAACCCCAGAGGAUAAACUCUGUCAUGAUGAAAUAUUAUAAAUAUAAAUACCCUUUCGUUUCAUUGUGCAAUUCAACAUGAUUGAACAUACUUCAGUAUAUCUCUAAUGCAGUAUACCAUGUUCAAGACCCAAAAAACUAGAUUGUUAGAAUGACUGACUAGUACACUUCAUUUUGUUUUGCCACAACGCAUUCACAAUUUAAGAGAUCAACUAUAUCCUAGUUAAAUUCCAAUAGGUAUUAGUAAGUGAAAAAAAAAUAAACUAAGGUGUUAUCAUGUACAAUCAUAUGCUAUUAAAACACGUCUUACUUAUUGAAAGUCAAG